UGAAACUAAACCUCAUUGUGACUUCACCAUUUCUUCACGUUACGAGUCAAGAACGUUCUUCAGGAGACACUCUAGAGAUGAUUUCUUCUCCAGGAUUAGUGACUGUGAUACUCUUCCUGCUGGGACAAACCCGUGGAGACUCAGUGAGCCAGAUGGACGGCCAAGUGACCCUUUUGCAAGGGGCUACCUUGACUGUGAACUGUACUUAUUCAGCCACUGGGUACCCCACUCUUUUCUGGUAUGUCCAGUAUCCUGGAGAAGGUCCAGAACUCUUCCUGAAAGCCAUGAAGGCUAAUGACAAGGAAACCAACAAAGGUUUUGAAGCCACAUACAACGCAAAAACCACCUCCUUCCACUUGGAGAAAGCCUCAGUCCAGGAGUCAGACUCAGCUGUGUACUACUGCGCUCUGGGUGACACAGUGACGGGAACUGCAGGGGGAGCUGAGCGCAAACUCUGAGCAGCGAUGGGGCCUGGAUGCACUGUGGUUCCAACAGAGCCUGUGGUUGUCUGUCUCUUAGUCUCUGGUUGAUAGAAAAAACGUACAAAUGGCUAAAGCAUAAGAAUAAGAAGAGAAUAUUCCCCAUACUCAACUCUUUACUAGUAAAACUGAAAACUCUCUGACACCAAUAGUUCCUUUUCCAGGGUCAAAGUAAUUUCAAGGUAAAAACCACAUAAUCAAUGAAGUGGUGUUUUGCAUAUUCUUGAAAAAUCCUGCUUCCACAAGUUGUUCCAAGUCACCCAGGUGGGUAUUACUAUACCUCACUAUACUUUCAAAGAACCAAAGUGUGGCAGAUGAGGUGUUGUCUGCACAAUGUCUUCCUUUUUUUUUUUUAAUAUAUUUUUUUCCAUUUAUUUCUAUUAGUAGGAGGCUAAUUACUUUACAAUAUUGCAGUUGUUUUUGCCAUACAUUGACAUGAAUCAGCCAUAGAUUUACAUGUGUUCCCCAUACUGAUCCCCCCUCCCACCUCCCUCCCCAUCCCAUCCCUCUGGGUCUUCCCAGCACACCAGCCCUGAGCACUUGUCUCAUGCAUCCAACCUGGGCUGGUGAUCUGUUUCAUCAUUGAUAGUAUACUUGGUUCAAUACUAUUCUCUCUGAACAUCCCACCCUUGCCUUCUCCCACGGAGUCUAAAAGUCUCUUCUGUACAUCUAUGUCUGUUUUUCUGUUUUGCA